GGUUAAGCGACUAAGCGUACACGGUGGAUGCCCUGGCAGUCAGAGGCGAUGAAGGACGUGCUAAUCUGCGAUAAGCGCCGGUAAGGUGAUAUGAACCGUUAUAACCGGCGAUUUCCGAAUGGGGAAACCCAGUGUGAUUCGUCACACUAUCAUUAACUGAAUCCAUAGGUUAAUGAGGCGAACCGGGGGAACUGAAACAUCUAAGUACCCCGAGGAAAAGAAAUCAACCGAGAUUCCCCCAGUAGCGGCGAGCGAACGGGGAGGAGCCCAGAGCCUGAAUCAGCAUGUGUGUUAGUGGAAGCGUCUGGAAAGGCGCGCGAUACAGGGUGACAGCCCCGUACACAAAAGCGCAUGUGCUGUGAGCUCGAUGAGUAGGGCGGGACACGUGGUAUCCUGUCUGAAUAUGGGGGGACCAUCCUCCAAGGCUAAAUACUCCUGACUGACCGAUAGUGAACCAGUACCGUGAGGGAAAGGCGAAAAGAACCCCGGCGAGGGGAGUGAAAAAGAACCUGAAACCGUGUACGUACAAGCAGUGGGAGCACCCUUCGGGGUGUGACUGCGUACCUUUUGUAUAAUGGGUCAGCGACUUAUAUUCUGUAGCAAGGUUAACCGUAUAGGGGAGCCGGAGGGAAACCGAGUCUUAACCGGGCGUUAAGUUGCAGGGUAUAGACCCGAAACCCGGUGAUCUAGCCAUGGGCAGGUUGAAGGUUGGGUAACACUAACUGGAGGACCGAACCGACUAAUGUUGAAAAAUUAGCGGAUGACCUGUGGCUGGGGGUGAAAGGCCAAUCAAACCGGGAGAUAGCUGGUUCUCCCCGAAAGCUAUUUAGGUAGCGCCUCGUGAAUUCAUCUCCGGGGGUAGAGCACUGUUUCGGCUAGGGGGCCAUCCCGGCUUACCAACCCGAUGCAAACUGCGAAUACCGGAGAAUGUUAUCACGGGAGACACACGGCGGGUGCUAACGUCCGUCGUGAAGAGGGAAACAACCCAGACCGCCAGCUAAGGUCCCAAAGUCAUGGUUAAGUGGGAAACGAUGUGGGAAGGCCCAGACAGCCAGGAUGUUGGCUUAGAAGCAGCCAUCAUUUAAAGAAAGCGUAAUAGCUCACUGGUCGAGUCGGCCUGCGCGGAAGAUGUAACGGGGCUAAACCAUGCACCGAAGCUGCGGCAGCGACGCUGAUGCGUUGUUGGGUAGGGGAGCGUUCUGUAAGCCUGCGAAGGUGACCUGUGAGGGUUGCUGGAGGUAUCAGAAGUGCGAAUGCUGACAUAAGUAACGAUAAAGCGGGUGAAAAGCCCGCUCGCCGGAAGACCAAGGGUUCCUGUCCAACGUUAAUCGGGGCAGGGUGAGUCGACCCCUAAGGCGAGGCCGAAAGGCGUAGUCGAUGGGAAACGGGUUAAUAUUCCCGUACUUGGUGUUACUGCGAAGGGGGGACGGAGAAGGCUAUGUUGGCCGGGCGACGGUUGUCCCGGUUUAAGCGUGUAGGUGUGUGUUCCAGGUAAAUCCGGUUCACUUUAACACUGAGGCGUGACGACGAGGCACUACGGUGCUGAAGCAACAAAUGCCCUGCUUCCAGGAAAAGCCUCUAAGCAUCAGGUAACACGAAAUCGUACCCCAAACCGACACAGGUGGUCAGGUAGAGAAUACCAAGGCGCUUGAGAGAACUCGGGUGAAGGAACUAGGCAAAAUGGUGCCGUAACUUCGGGAGAAGGCACGCUGACACGUAGGUGAAGUGAUUUACUCAUGGAGCUGAAGUCAGUCGAAGAUACCAGCUGGCUGCAACUGUUUAUUAAAAACACAGCACUGUGCAAACACGAAAGUGGACGUAUACGGUGUGACGCCUGCCCGGUGCCGGAAGGUUAAUUGAUGGGGUCAGCGCAAGCGAAGCUCCUGAUCGAAGCCCCGGUAAACGGCGGCCGUAACUAUAACGGUCCUAAGGUAGCGAAAUUCCUUGUCGGGUAAGUUCCGACCUGCACGAAUGGCGUAAUGAUGGCCAGGCUGUCUCCACCCGAGACUCAGUGAAAUUGAACUCGCUGUGAAGAUGCAGUGUACCCGCGGCAAGACGGAAAGACCCCGUGAACCUUUACUAUAGCUUGACACUGAACAUUGAGCCUUGAUGUGUAGGAUAGGUGGGAGGCUUUGAAGUGUGGACGCCAGUCUGCAUGGAGCCGACCUUGAAAUACCACCCUUUAAUGUUUGAUGUUCUAACGUGGACCCGUAAUCCGGGUUGCGGACAGUGUCUGGUGGGUAGUUUGACUGGGGCGGUCUCCUCCUAAAGAGUAACGGAGGAGCACGAAGGUUGGCUAAUCCUGGUCGGACAUCAGGAGGUUAGUGCAAUGGCAUAAGCCAGCUUGACUGCGAGCGUGACGGCGCGAGCAGGUGCGAAAGCAGGUCAUAGUGAUCCGGUGGUUCUGAAUGGAAGGGCCAUCGCUCAACGGAUAAAAGGUACUCCGGGGAUAACAGGCUGAUACCGCCCAAGAGUUCAUAUCGACGGCGGUGUUUGGCACCUCGAUGUCGGCUCAUCACAUCCUGGGGCUGAAGUAGGUCCCAAGGGUAUGGCUGUUCGCCAUUUAAAGUGGUACGCGAGCUGGGUUUAGAACGUCGUGAGACAGUUCGGUCCCUAUCUGCCGUGGGCGCUGGAGAACUGAGGGGGGCUGCUCCUAGUACGAGAGGACCGGAGUGGACGCAUCACUGGUGUUCGGGUUGUCAUGCCAAUGGCACUGCCCGGUAGCUAAAUGCGGAAGAGAUAAGUGCUGAAAGCAUCUAAGCACGAAACUUGCCCCGAGAUGAGUUCUCCCUGAGACUUAGAGUCUCCUGAAGGAACGUUGAAGACGACGACGUUGAUAGGCCGGGUGUGUAAGCGCAGCGAUGCGUUGAGCUAACCGGUACUAAUGAACCGUGAGGCUUAACCUU
rnacentral:rRNA from 1 species